rnacentral:rRNA from 1 species
UACGGGGGGAGCAAGCGUUGUUCGGAUUUACUGGGCGUAAAGGGCGCGUAGGCGGUCGUGACAAGUCACUUGUGAAAUCUCCGGGCUUAACUCGGAACGGUCAAGUGAUACUGUCGGACUAGAGUACAGAAGGGGCAACGUGGAAUUCUCGGUGUAGCGGUGAAAUGCGUAGAGAUCGGGAGGAAUACCAGUGGCGAAGGCGGCCGGCUGGGCCACGACCGACACUGAGGUGCGAAAGCGUGGGGAGCGAACCGG